UGUGGUUACAAUAGCAGAGAGGAUACACCUGUUCCCAUUCCGAACACAGAAGUUAAG
rnacentral:rRNA from 1 species